rnacentral:misc_RNA from 1 species
AAUGUGUUGCAUUUUGUUAGGAUUGUUGAGUUCGGGUCGGAGGUGCAGCGCUGACGACGGCGGGGCGGCGGUCUGCCAAGUGCUGGUUACAGACUCAAUCGAUGCCAAAGCGGAAACGUAUACUUAGUAUAUAUCGAUUAACGAUUAUAUCACGUCGUGGGUAAUGUAGGAGUAACACGCUCGACACCUCAAUGCGCUCCGCGGCGAAGUUCGAGCGACUAAUGAUAUUGUGUACUUAUGUAUAGCUUUAUACUGAUUAAAAUUAAAAACUCCCUUAUAAUAUUGCAACAGAGCAAUCGUUUCUACUAGAUUAAAAUGACCUCUCUGAAUGUAUAAAACGAUCGCCCACAAAGUGAUUCUAGGAUACAGGUGCCACGUCGGUCGUCGAGGAGUCAGAGAGCGGAAGUACGGAGAGUAGUCGUACACCGGCCUCCCGGUGGCGCCCGCGCCGCUUCACUCUCGGGUCCACUGUAGUCUGUCGCGAAUUUUUAUAUACUCUAUCGGUACUAUCGUAGUGUAACUGAUCCUAUAUCAUGUCAUUCGCGACUUUAAUAAACUAGCUUCGCCAUUUUAUUUAAUUAUAGACCCGCACCAUUUCAUCUAUUCUUGUAUAUCGGAGUAUCCUCAUUCACUUAUCGUCUUAGUCAAAAUUAUUACUAUUGAAACGUUUUACCGUUACUUAAAAAUGUAAAAUAUAAUGCAAAAAAAAAACAGUAAGAAAAACAAGAGAAACGUGUACUUACAUUUCAUGUCAUCAGUAACGAUAAAUUUCUAAAUCGAUCAAAUACAUCUUAGUAUUACGAAAUCGAAUUUGAUUAAACUAUUUAACUUCUAAAAAUUUUAUAAAUAC